UUUUUAAUGUAUUUGUUUAUAUUUAUUUAUGUGAUGUCAUUAAAUUCUGGCUUACCCGUGUAGCUGAGCAUUGUUUGGAGCUGACUGGAUCCUAAUAUGGUCUGUGCAUGCUGUGUGACUGUUCCAGUGAGCUUAAACUUUCCUGCUAAACAGACUGAUACCUGCACAUGCUCUGCUCUGUUUGUGGGGAGGGACUCCAAAAAACAUCACUUUUUGUUGCUGUAUAGCUCUGAAAACUGAUUUCCUUCUUGAAUCCAAUUUCUAUCAUGAGAUCUAUUUAUAGACCAUAAAUCAGGAUUUUGCUAAAAGAUCUUGCCCUUUGUUAGCAACACAACUUGUUUGGGCAGUAGGGAUGAAGGAGAAAUGGGAUGCUUGUUUCUUUUUCACAGUGGUUUUGCCUAUGUUCAUGUUGGGACAAUUCUAAGGUAUUUCAGGUGUUAGCAAAGCUGUGCAGUUGAUUCCAAGCUUCAGUUUUGAUAUUUCUCCUGUUUUGGAAGUAGAGACCAAAGGCCAGGUUCCUCUGUUACCCCUUGGCAGUCACGAGUCCCAGUGGUGAGGGACCAGGCCUUAAAUGCUCCCACUCCUAGAGACAAUGCUUUCUCCAGUUUAACUCCACCAGGUACCAGAUUUCUGUAACAGGAGGUGCAGAUAAACCUCCACUGUUUUGAAAUAGCAGGUGGGUGGGCACUGUCCAUCACUAUUUCCCUGGGAGCGUGAGGUGUGGGGCAGGUGAGCUCAGGAGCUGUGCCUGCAGCACAGGGCUGAGUUUGAGGAGAGCUCCUGCAGCAGUUUUGGCAUAUGAACCUCCUGGCAUCACCUCCUCCCCACCAACAAUCCUUGUCCUCCACCAGCCCUUAGCCUGGGCUGCCACAGCUGCUCUGACACAGCCAGGAAGUGGUGCACAGGGAGAAAUGGAGAAAACCCAAAACCAGAAGAGCAGAGAGGUCCCUGUGGCCAGGCCAGGUCUCCAGCCUCCCUCACGGUGUGAGCUCCCAAGCAGAUGUAGCCCAGCAGAGGUGAGCAGGGGCUGGGUGUGUGGCUGGGGAUGCACCACCAGCAGAGACCCCGUGCACAGAGCCGGGCUGGUCUGCUGUGGAGCCAGGGCCACCAGCCCAGGGAAGUGAGUGUGCUGAGAAAUCCCACAGAACAGCUGGGAUGAGGGCACAUAAAUAAAUCCUGCUCCCCCCAGAUCCAGAUGUACCUGGAAGAGGUCAACUUGGCCAACUGAGGGUAUUGCCAGGAGCAGCCAAGGAAUGUUUCUGACCCCCGUGUGGCACUCCUGCCUCUCAAGUGAUGCACUCCCAGUCAGAGGCAAUGUGCCUUUUCCUCACCCCCAGCAAGGCCAGGCCAGGCACUGCCCGGUCUUGCACCACUUUGGCUGGCAAGUGUGAAGCACCAGCACAAGCUCUGUAACUUCAGAGAGGCCAGCAAGGCUCAGUCUGAACACCCCUGCCUGUGCCCAGGGUGACUCCGUGUUAACUGGCUGUGAUCGCUUGCUUUCCAAAUGAAUCCCAUCCGUGGGUGGCUGUUUAUACAGGUUUCGCUUGCCUCCUGUGAAGACAGAUGUUGUUACAGCUUCCACUGCCAUCACAGUGGGUUAGACAUGAGCUUCCCUGGUGAAUAACACACAAGUUGGAAAA